UACUUCAAUUCUUCUGAAUUAUCUUAUCACGUGUCCUGAAACUGAUCUUAUGUCACUCUGCUGAAAUGUCGUUGCGUGCUACUUGUUCCAUUUGUAUUUCUCAACACACUCAGAAACUCUUCGCAGAAAACCUUUAAGUAUGAGCUGCAGUCAAUAGGUUGCAGGUGAGAACCAGUCAGCUGUUGCUUUCAGUUUGUGAUGCUCCCUGCUGCUGUUAUCCUCAAAUAUGUAAGCUAUUCUGCCCAAUAAUUGUUAGCAAUCCAUGCAGAAACCUGAAGCAAUUCACAAGAAAGUAUAGGGCCAGGUGAAUUUUAAUCAUAUGUCCAUGGUUUCGUCGCAGUGAGCUGGUGAAUGGUGUGGUGAGCUGUUGCUCACAGUCUGUUGUGCUGGUGUUUUCCUGGAAUGUGUUGAUUUUUUCAUCAAUCUCGACUUGCCUGUUUGCGUCUCCAAAUUCAAUCUGUAAUUGUUGAAAAAGUAAAGUCGAAUGUAGAUUAUGACUAUAGCUGAUGAUGAUAAUUAUUCUAAAACAAAGGCACUCAUCUCCCUAUCUCUCGAUCUCCGAUAAAGUACUGAAAAGACAUACGAAAUAAAAUAUAAAAUGAUAUAAGUAAAGAAUUGUGUUUUAUAUUCCACCACUUUUUUUACAACACAUAUUAAUAACAUACACACAUACAAUUACGUUGGCUGCCACGCUAUACAACCCGUAGGUUGCUCUACUACUUUACGUGCCACGUCUUAAGGAUCCAUGACCAAGGUGGGGCUUGCCAUU